AACGAACGCUGGCGGCAUGCCUAACACAUGCAAGUCGAACGAGACCUUCGGGUCUAGUGGCGCACGGGUGCGUAACGCGUGGGAACCUGCCCUUAGGUUCGGAAUAACUCCCCGAAAGGGGUGCUAAUACCGGAUAAUGUCUUCGGACCAAAGAUUUAUCGCCUUUGGAUGGGCCCGCGUUGGAUUAGCUAGUUGGUAGGGUAAAAGCCUACCAAGGCGACGAUCCAUAGCUGGUCUGAGAGGAUGAUCAGCCACACUGGGACUGAGACACGGCCCAGACUACUACGGGAGGCAGCAGUGGGGAAUAUUGGACAAAGGGCGAAAGCCUGAUCCAGCAAUGACGCGUGAGUGAUGAAGGCCUUAGGGUUGUAAAGCUCUUUUACCCGGGAUGAUAAUGACAGUACCGGGAGAAUAAGCGCCGGCUAACUCCGUG
rnacentral:rRNA from 1 species